AUUGAACGCUGGCGGCAGGCCUAACACAUGCAAGUCGAGCGAGCGGCGGACGGGUGAGUAAUGUCUGGGAAACUGCCUGAUGGAGGGGGAUAACUACUGGAAACGGUAGCUAAUACCGCAUACCAUCAGAUGUGCCCAGAUGGGAUUAGCUAGUAGGUGGGGUAAUGGCUCACCUAGGCGACGAUCCCUAGCUGGUCUGAGAUGAUGACCAGCCACACUGGAACUGAGACACGGUCCAGACUCCUACGGGAGGCAGCAGUGGGGAAUAUUGCACAAUGGGCGCAAGCCUUAUGCAGCCAUGCCGCGUGUAUGAAGAAGGCCUUCGGGUUGUAAAGUACUUUCAGCGGGGAGGCGUUACCAACAGAAUAAGCACCGGCUAACUUCGUGCCAGCAGCCGCGGUAAUUC
rnacentral:rRNA from 1 species